rnacentral:misc_RNA from 1 species
UCUCCGUUGGUGAACCAGCGGAGGGAUCAUUACAGAGUUGCAAAACUCCCAAACCCUUGUGAACGUUACCUCUCCCGUUGCUUCGGCGGGCGGCCCGGGCCCCGCGCCCGGCGCCCCCCGGCCCCCCGUGGGCGCCCGCCGGAGGUAAACCAAACCCUUGAAUUGCAUGGCCUCUCUGAGUCUUCUGUACUGAAUAAGUCAAAACUUUCAACAACGGAUCUCUUGGUUCUG